AUUGAACGCUGGCGGCAGGCCUAACACAUGCAAGUCGAGCGGGGUUUUCGGACCUAGCGGCGGACGGGUGAGUAAUGCGUAGGAAGCUGCCCGAUAGAGGGGGAUACCAGUUGGAAACGACUGUUAAUACCGCAUAAUGCCUACGGACCAAAGUGUGGGACCUUCGGGCCACAUGCUAUCGGAUGCGCCUACGUGGGAUUAGCUAGUUGGUGAGGUAAUGGCUCACCAAGGCGACGAUCUCUAGCUGGUUUGAGAGGAUGAUCAGCCACACUGGAACUGAGACACGGUCCAGACUCCUACGGGAGGCAGCAGUGGGGAAUAUUGGACAAUGGGCGCAAGCCUGAUCCAGCCAUGCCGCGUGUGUGAAGAAGGCCUUCGGGUUGUAAAGCACUUUCAGCGAGGAGGAAGGGUUGUGUGUUAAUAGUACACAGCUUUGACGUUACUCGCAGAAGAAGCACCGGCUAACUCUGUGCCAGCCGCCGCCGUAA
rnacentral:rRNA from 1 species